rnacentral:rRNA from 1 species
UACGUAGGAUGCUAGCGUUGUCCGGAUUUACUGGGCGUAAAGCGCGCGCAGGCGGCACUGUAAGUAAGGUGUGAAAUCUCCCUGCUCAACGGGGAGGGUGCACUUUAGACUGCAGAGCUAGAGGACGGUAGAGGGGGGUGGAAUUGCUGGUGUAGCGGUGAAAUGCGUAGAGAUCAGCAGGAACACCCGUGGCGAAGCGGCCCCCUGGGCCGAACCUGACGCUGAGGCGCGAAGGCUAGGGGAGCGAACGGG